rnacentral:rRNA from 1 species
AGUGAACGCUGGCGGCAGGCCUAACACAUGCAAGUCGAACGGCAGCACAGAGGAGCUUGCUCCUUGGGUGGCGAGUGGCGGACGGGUGAGGAAUACGUCGGAAUCUGCCUAUUUGUGGGG